rnacentral:sRNA from 1 species
UGCUGAGCCAUCCCACCAGCCCCCAAUUUACCUGUCUAAAGUGUACAGGGUAUGUUUCUGACAAUAGCGUAAGGUAGUAUAACCUUUGCCCAAGUCAAGACACAGAACAUUUCGUCACCCUGAGAAGUUGCUUCACAAAUUCACCGUGACCUUCGCCCCUCCCCCAAGUCAUGGGGCAACAACCGAUCUGAUAUUCGGUCUUUAUCCUUUUGCUUUUUUUGUAAAAUAAUGAGGAACAGACAUUCUCAGUGGGAGCUACAGCCAAAUACCGGAAUAGGGAUUUUCACCGGCAAGUAGGCAAGAGCUCUGAGCAAGACAUGGCUAUGCUGUAGAACAUGUAAGGUAAGACGGAGCUUCGGAGCUGAGGUCUGGGGGUCAGCAAUCGGCCACACGACUGGCUCACCCAGGACCUCAUUUUCAUAGCUCAAAGAUUGAGGAGGUGGCAGAGAAAACAGUUCAAGCAAGGGGGCUCUUUGCAAGCUUCAUGUGGCCUUUGUCCUCACCAGAGCCACUUUGUGACUCCCUGCCCCAGACCAGUCAGUGACAGGAUCCAAUUUGCAUUCUGGAAGGAUUAUUCCACUCACUAGGAAACAGAGGCAGGGAAGAGUUGGAGGCCUGAAGUGAGACUGGUAGCCUCAGCCACGGCUGUGGUGGGCAGGAGUAGUCAGAUACAGUCGGCCUUUAGGAGGUAGGGUUCCAGGACUUAGUAGGAUGGUGGAGGAGGAGGUGACAGAAAAAGGCUUAAGAUGGUUCCCUUGUUUCUAGAUUGGAUGUUUGUUUGAACAUAAAAAUGGCGGCAUCAUUGAAGGGACACUGCAGCUGAAGCCGUCUGGCAGUGUGGAAGUGGAGACGUGGGUUCUGGAAUGCAGCUAAGGGGCAAUGUCCAGUGGACAGUUGGAUGUGCCAGUCUAGAUCUCAGAGAAGAGAUUCCAUUCUCUGUGAACUAACUUCUAGGUUCUCCUGUAGCCUGAUAGAAAACCAAAGGAUUUGUCCCAUCCAGAGGAACUUUUCUCCUUACCCGUUUUCUUCCCCCCUUUCCCCCCUCGCCUUUUCUGUAGAAAAGGAUUGAUUCUCUGUGUAGCUGUGGCUGUAGACCACGCUGGCUUCAAACUCAGGGAUCUGUCAGUCUCUGCCCUACAAGUUCUGGGAUCAAAGGUGCGCCCCACCUGGCCACCUGGCCAAGAGGAACUUCUUUCAUUAAGUAGAAUCUUCUUCCUAAAUUGUUUGUUCUAGAAAGAGCUAGUUUCAUGUUACGAACCUUUCGGAAUCCUGGGAAAGGGCUCUGGGCUUUCGAUACAUUUUGAUACAAUAUAGCGCAUCUACUAAGCACCUGUGAGAUGAGGAGGGAGCCAGGCUGGCAGCUUUCUAGUUGCUCGUUGUUCAGAAGCGCUGAUGUUCCUCACUUUGUGAUAUUGACACUGUGCUUUGUGCAUUUAUAAAAUCAAGGCUGGAGGAGGUCUCAGCACAUGGUCUACAACCAAGGAAUAGUCUACGAUCAACGACUAAUUUCCCUUUCUCUUUGAAGCAGAAAGGUAUUAAGGGAGCUGUGUCUGUGCUCUCCAGAGAGGCAGAGUAACAGAGCACACGUGAAACUAUUAGAGACUGCCUCGUCAAUGUGGAGACCAAGAAGCCCUCCAGUCUGCUGUCUGCAGGAUGAAGAACAAGGAAGACCAGGGGUGUGAACCCCAGUGUGAGCCUGAGGGCUCUCAAGUCAGGACUGAUGUUUAAAGACGGGGAGAGAGGGGUUCCCUGGCUCAAACAGAUGGUAAAACUCACCCUUUCUCCACAUCUUUUGUGCAGUUUGUUUCUUCAAUGAAUUAGAUCAUGUCCAACUACACUCCAAAGACCCUUAUUCUUCGUUCAGUCUACAAAUUUAAGUGUUAAGGACUUCCAGAGACAUUUGUAGCAAACACAGAAAAUAGUCGUUUCUCAGUCUAUCUGGGUAUUCUGCACCUUAGCCAAAGGAAACCAUGAAAAACCAUCUUGGCUUUGUUUUUAUUAUAAAAAGACUAACUGGAGAGACCUAGUCCAGGCUGUGCCUGGCUGUGGGGAAGAGAAGGACAGGGAGGCAGACGACACCCUGUCUUGGUUAAGAGAGCCACAUGGAGGGAAAAGCCAAAUCAUCACUCUCCAGGGCCAAGGAAGCCAGAGGUUUCUUUUAGAAAUUCCAUCCGAAAGAAGCUAGAUGUGGAAUUCUGCAGGCCACAUCAUACUUCUCAGGGAUCCUCACGUAAAAUUUAACAGCCUAUUUCUUUGUCAUUCCCACAGAUGUUGGUGAGAGGGAUAUCUCUGUCACUAUAACAAAACGCACAAGACAAUCAACUUACAAAGAGGAAAGGUUUUCCACCUCAUCGUCUUAAAGGUUCCACUCCAUAACCAGGAAGACGAAUUUCUGGCAAGGUUGCAGGAGGCAAAGCCUGCUCUUAAGUGUGUAUGAGCAAUCACACCGUGGCCAGAAGCAAAGGAGAAGAGAGUGGGCACCACAUAGAGCAUGUGUGCCUCUUCUGGGGGGCACACAUCCAGUGAUCUAGGACUUCUCUGCUACAUCCCACCUCACCCCACAAUAGCCUUGCCUGACGAGCAUGCCUUCAACACAUGGGUCUGUGGUGGUACAUCAAAUCCAAAGUGUAGCAAGGGCCAGGUAGACUCACAACAUACAGGCCAUGUUCUCUUUGCCACAUGGUGAAGUGAAUCACAGAACAUCUUUUGAAUAGGAACUUUCACCUUCUAUUUUAUCAGCAGGAAUCUGGGCAGCCAGGAUUCAUCCAGUUGUUGGGCAGCCCACCAAAGUCUCAUCUUAAUGACCUGUGUUUAAGACAAACCUCUCAGAAUGAGGCCGUGGCUCACAAGCCUUUGCCUUGCAGGAUUGGGACCCUGAGUCCCAUCCCCAUUCUACCCUGCACAGCCCUAACAGUCAUAACCCAAUGAAAACCUCUGUCUCCCACACCCUCCAUGACUAACGACACGGGACACUCAACUAUAAAAAGCAUCAAGUGCAGACAGUCAUUUUGACUCUCUAGAACACUAAGCUAAUUAAUGCACCCUUGACUCUUCCUCCGUUCCCGUUAGGCUGACACUCGGGGCCAGCCCUCCUGUUUACUAGUUCUCUGAGAGGAAAUUUUUAGGAAAACGUUGCUUUUAGUACAACCUCGGUCACAUUCUUCUCACGUUGGUUGCUGCAUAGUCUGAAGGGGUUACGUCAAGGGGAAUUUGACACCCACCCUUCUCAUUUGCUCUUUGAUUUGCACACUCAUCAAAAGACUCGGGCCAUUUGAUACCUCACAAGAUGAUUCCUCCUAUAGCAGACACUGAGGGAAGGGGGAGUCACCUGGCCCCAGCAUCUGCUAACUGUGUUCUGUUCCUAUUUCAACUGUUGACUCGAUAAAUGCCCUUGGGCAAGUCACUGAACCCCUCCAUGUUUAGUCUCUGGGGAAUGAAAUCUGCCAACUGUAUUUUGUGGGUUUGAACCUCGCUGCCCUCUGGGAUAAAAAUAGGAGAGGACCAGGUGUCAGCUGGUCCCAAACUGAUGUAAGGACAGCGGCCAUGGGAUCUCAAAGAUGUCCUUGAGCUAUAAAUUCUAUAAUAGGAACCCAAACACGGGGGCCUCCGGCAUUUGGUUUGUGUGAUGAAUCCCCGCCCUUGAAACUUUUCCAGCCUGGCAAAAACUGGCAUUAACCUUCCACUCUUGAAUCUCUUGAAUCCUCUGCCUCGCCCUGCCCCCACUUCUCAGUAUUUCUCCCGCCAAGGUACUCAACCCUGAUCGCUGUUGCUUUUCACAAAGCUCUUGGACUGCAAACUUCCUGAGGGAGGAGAACACACCAGCCUGAGGCUUCAUUUUCAAGGACACACCAGGCAAGCGGGCACCCUACGUGAACGUUUGGCCAGACGGACGAGUGAAUGAACGCUGCCCAGGCCCCAGAGAACAUUCCACUCCCCCGCCUGAUGAUCAUCUAUUCGUGGCCAUGAUAAGAUGUGGAACAACAGUUUCAAGAGCAGAUGUCAACACCAGAACCAGAAUCAUCCAGAUUCAUGACCGAAUUGUUGUAGGCUUCAAGUCUCUGUCGGAAUUAUCAGUUCUGCGGUGGAAGCACAAACGCAGUCAAAGGAACACGCGACACACGCGACAGUCCUCAUAGACCCUCAUGGACACAGAAAGUUGGACUUUACAAAAGAGAGUUAUUUCACUUGAUGCAUUUUGGAGUUUGCCCGCACUCGAGACUGUGUACCAUGUACCUGCGGUGCCCACAGAGACCGAAGAGGGAGUCAGAUCUAAGGGACAGCUAAGGGACAGCGGUGGGCUGCCACACGGUGCUGGGAACUGCGCCUGGUCCUCUGUAAGAGUGGUCAGUGCUCUCAACUGUUAAGCCAUCUCUCCAGCCCCUCACUUUUUGUGUGUCCCCAGAUGAUUUUUACUUUGGUGUCUUCUCAGUCAUUUAUAAAUGUAGAAAUCAUUCCCGCCUUGUGAGCUGGGGGGGAUUAGAGCAGAUAUGGCCUGGGGAUGGGGCUUUGCACCCCAACCUCAGUACUGGAGGAACCUGAUCUGGAACUGGUGACUGAGAUCAGCAUGGGGUCUACCGUUCACUGUGAGUAUAGGGCUGAUUGUGAAUCUUCUGGAGUUUCCUAUUCCCCUUGGCAACGGAAUGCCAGGAUGACAAUGGUCAAGUGGUAUGGACAGUAGGGCACAGGGCCACCUGUUGAACAAAUAAAGGAAUACCGAGACACGA